UACGAAGGGGGCUAGCGUUGCUCGGAAUCACUGGGCGUAAAGCGCACGUAGGCGGCUUUUUAAGUCAGAGGUGAAAUCCUGGAGCUCAACUCCAGAACUGCCUUUGAUACUGAGAGGCUUGAGUCCGGGAGAGGUGAGUGGAACUGCGAGUGUAGAGGUGAAAUUCGUAGAUAUUCGCAAGAACACCAGUGGCGAAGGCGGCUCACUGGCCCGGUACUGACGCUGAGGUGCGAAAGCGAGGG
rnacentral:rRNA from 1 species